rnacentral:rRNA from 1 species
AGAGUUUGAUCCUGGCUCAGAACGAACGCUGGCGGCAGGCCUAACACAUGCAAGUCGAGCGCUACCUUCGGGUGGAGCGGCGGACGGGUUAGUAACGCGUGGGAACAUACCCUUUUCUACGGAAUAGCCUCGGGAAACUGAGAGUAAUACCGUAUAAGCCCUUCGGGGGAAAGAUUUAUCGGGAAAGGAUUGGCCCGCGUUAGAUUAGAUAGUUGGUGGGGUAAUGGCCUACCAAGUCUACGAUCUAUAGCUGGUUUUAGAGGAUGAUCAGCAACACUGGGACUGAGACACGGCCCAGACUCCUACGGGAGGCAGCAGUGGGGAAUCUUAGACAAUGGGCGAAAGCCUGAUCUAGCCAUGCCGCGUGAGUGAUGAAGGUCUUAGGAUCGUAAAGCUCUUUCGCUAGGGAUGAUAAUGACAGUACCUAGUAAAGAAGCCCCGGCUAACUCCGUGCCAGCAGCCGCGGUAAUACGGAGGGGGCUAGCGUUGUUCGGAAUUACUGGGCGGAAAGCGUACGUGGGCGGAUCACAAAGUAUGGGGGUGAAAUCCCAAGGCUUAA